GGCUGAACCUGCAGAUUUUGUCCACAUUUACAAUGCUGGAGGAGAGUACAGAAAACGUCAAGAAAUUGACAUGUUUGGCGAGAUAUCUGGUGUAUCUCUGAGUCCAGACGAUGAGUCUCUUUACAUCGGUAUCUGGGAUCGAACAUAUGCAAGCUUGCUCCAAUACAACCGAAGGCGUUCUUCCGUAUAUGUUGAUCUGUUCACAUAGACCUACUGAUGGUUUGUUUCUUCACCGCGGGCCGAUGUACCGGAGAAAAUAGGCUGAUGAAAUCAUGUUGAACUUUGAAACUUGGCUCAGUUUUUGGUCCUUAGUAUACCAUGUACAGUGUCCUUAAGAAAAAUGCCUUACAUAUAGAGCCUUAUUUCUAGUACUAGUAUAGUUAGACUUCUCUGUGAACAGUCAUUUUCUAUUACAACAUUUCGCUUUUGGUACGACUUUUCA
rnacentral:misc_RNA from 1 species